rnacentral:rRNA from 1 species
GUCCGAUUAGCUCGUUGGUGGGGUAACGGCUCACCAAGGCGACGAUCGGUAGGUGGUCUGAGAGGACGAUCACCCAGACUGGGACUGAGACACGGCCCAGACUCCUACGGGAGGCAGCAGUCGGGAAUUUUGCUCAAUGGGCGAAAGCCUGAAGCAGCAACGCCGCGUGAGGGAUGAAGGCCUUCGGGUCGUAAACCUCUUUUCUCAGGGACGAGUAAUGACGGUACCUGAGGAAUAAGCCACGGCUAACUACGUGCCAGCAGCCGCGGUAAUACGUAGGUGGCGAGCGUUGUCCGGAUUUACUGGGCGUAAAGAGCGCGCAGGCGGUCGAGCAAGUCGGAUGUGAAAGCCCCCGGCUCAACUGGGGAGGGUCAUUCGAAACUGCUCGACUUGAAGGCGGGAGAGGGAAGCGGAAUUCCCGGUGUAGUGGUGAAAUGCGUAGAUAUCGGGAGGAACACCGGUGGCGAAGGCGGCUUCCUGG